rnacentral:rRNA from 1 species
GAUGAACGCUGGCGGCGUGCCUAAUACAUGCAAGUCGAGCGAACGGACGAGAAGCUUGCUUCUCUGAUGUUAGCGGCGGACGGGUGAGUAACACGUGGAUAACCUACCUAUAAGACUGGGAUAACUUCGGGAAACCGGAGCUAAUACCGGAUAAUAUUUUGAACCGCAUGGUUCAAAAGUGAAAGACGGUCUUGCUGUCACUUAUAGAUGGAUCCGCGCUGCAUUAGCUAGUUGGUAAGGUAACGGCUUACCAAGGCAACGAUGCAUAGCCGACCUGAGAGGGUGAUCGGCCACACUGGAACUGAGACACGGUCCAGACUCCUACGGGAGGCAGCAGUAGGGAAUCUUCCGCAAUGGGCGAAAGCCUGACGGAGCAACGCCGCGUGAGUGAUGAAGGUCUUCGGAUCGUAAAACUCUGUUAUUAGGGAAGAACAUAUGUGUAAGUAACUGUGCACAUCUUGACGGUACCUAAUCAGAAAGCCACGGCUAACUACGUGCCAGCAGCCGCGGUAAUACGUAGGUGGCAAGCGUUAUCCGGAAUUAUUGGGCGUAAAGCGCGCGUAGGCGGUUUUUUAAGUCUGAUGUGAAAGCCCACGGCUCAACCGUGGAGGGUCAUUGGAAACUGGAAAACUUGAGUGCAGAAGAGGAAAGUGGAAUUCCAUGUGUAGCGGUGAAAUGCGCAGAGAUAUGGAGGAACACCAGUGGCGAAGGCGACUUUCUGGUCUGUAACUGACGCUGAUGUGCGAAAGCGUGGGGAUCAAACAGGAUUAGAUACCCUGGUAGUCCACGCCGUAAACGAUGAGUGCUAAGUGUUAGGGGGUUUCCGCCCCUUAGUGCUGCAGCUAACGCAUUAAGCACUCCGCCUGGGGAGUACGACCGCAAGGUUGAAACCCAAAGGAAUUGACGGGGACCCGCACAAGCGGUGGAGCAUGUGGUUUAAUUCGAAGCAACGCGAAGAACCUUACCAAAUCUUGACAUCCUUUGACAACUCUAGAGAUAGAGCCUUCUCCUUCGGGGGACAAAGUGACAGGUGGUGCAUGGUUGUCGUCAGCUCGUGUCGUGAGAUGUUGGGUUAAGUCCCGCAACGAGCGCAACCCUUAAGCUUAGUUGCCAUCAUUAAGUUGGGCACUCUAAGUUGACUGCCGGUGACAAACCGGAGGAAGGUGGGGAUGACGUCAAAUCAUCAUGCCCCUUAUGAUUUGGGCUACACACGUGCUACAAUGGACAAUACAAAGGGCAGCGAAACCGCGAGGUCAAGCAAAUCCCAUAAAGUUGUUCUCAGUUCGGAUUGUAGUCUGCAACUCGACUACAUGAAGCUGGAAUCGCUAGUAAUCGUAGAUCAGCAUGCUACGGUGAAUACGUUCCCGGGUCU